rnacentral:rRNA from 1 species
CCUACGGGAGGCAGCAGUGGGGAAUAUUGCACAAUGGGGGAAACCCUGAUGCAGCGACGCCGCGUGAGUGAAGAAGUAUUUCGGUACGUAAAGCUCUAUCAGCAGGGAAGAAAAUGACGGUACCUGACUAAGCAGCCCCGGCUAACUACGUGCCAGCAGCCGCGGUAAUACGUAGGGGGCAAGCGUUAUCCGGAUUUACUGGGUGUAAAGGGAUCGUAGACGGCAGCGCAAGUCUGGAGUGAAAUCCCAUGGCUUAACCAUGGAACUGCUUUGGAAACUGUGCAGCUAGAGUGCAGGAGAGGUAAGCGGAAUUCCUAGUGUAGCGGUGAAAUGCGUAGAUAUUAGGAGGAACACCAGUGGCGAAGGCGGCUUACUGGACUGUAACUGACGUUGAGGCUCGAAAGCGUGGGGAGCAAACAGGAUUAGAUACCCCAGUAGUC